GCGCGUGUAGCUCAGUGGUAGAGCAUGUCUCUUAUAAAGACAAGGUCGCAGGCUCAAUCCCUGCCACGCGCACUA
rnacentral:tRNA from 1 species